rnacentral:rRNA from 1 species
GAACGAGAACGGAUUCAGCAAUGGGUCCUAGUAAAGUGGCGAACGGGUGAGUAACACGUGGGUAAUCUACCUUCUAAUGGGGGAUAACCCGGGGAAACCUGGGCUAAUACCGCAUAAUAUCCGCAAGGAUCAAAGGAGUAAUUCGUUAGAAGAUGAGCCCGCGGCCGAUUAGCUAGUUGGCGGGGUAAUGGCCCACCAAGGCUGUGAUCGGUAGCCGGUCUGAGAGGACGCACGGCCACACUGGAACUGAAACACGGUCCAGACUCCUACGGGAGGCAGCAGUGGGGAAUCUUGCACAAUGGGGGAAACCCUGAUGCAGCGACGCCGCGUGAGUGAUGAAGCUCUUCGGAGUGUAAAGCUCUUUCGGCAGGGAAGAAUUAAGACGGUACCUGCAAAAGAAGCCCCGGCUAACUACGUG